rnacentral:lncRNA from 1 species
CAGGCCCCUCCUCGCCCCCCCUCUUCCCAGCCCUUGGUUGCUAUGCAGUUUCUAUGGCAGCAGCAUCCUCAGACCCAACUUGCACCCAUCAUUUAGAGCCAAUUAAGUACUUGAACAGAAGGAAAGGAAAGUUUUAAAAAAUGCCGAUCGCACAGUUGCUGGAGCUAUGGAAGAAGAUCGAGGUGGAGCCCAUGGAGAUAGAGACCACCGAGGAGGAUCUUAACCUGGACGCAGAACCCGCCGCAGAAGAUACCGUGGAAGAAGAACCUUAUGAUGUGGUGUGCAUGGUGGUGGAGGCAGUGCUGUGGAGUUCAGGC